CCUACGGGAGGCAGCAGUGGGGAAUAUUGCACAAUGGGGGAAACCCUGAUGCAGCGACGCCGCGUGAGUGAAGAAGUAUUUCGGUAUGUAAAGCUCUAUCAGCAGGCAAGAGACAAGACGGUACAUGACUAAGAAGCACCGGCUAACUACGUGCCAGCAGCCGCGGUAAUACGUAGGGGGCAAGCGUUAUCCGGAAUCACUGGGUGUACAGGGAGCGGAGACGGCUGGGCAAGCCUGAAGUGAAAGGCGGGGGCCCAACCCCCGAACUGCUUGGGGAACUGUACGGCUGGAGUGCAGGAGAGGUAAGUGGAAUUCCUAGUGUAGCGGUGAAAUGCGUAGAUAUUAGGAGGAACACCAGUGGCGAAGGCGGCUUACUGGACUGUAACUGACGUUGAGGCUCGAAAGCGUGGGGAGCAAACAGGAUUAGAUACCCCGGUAGUC
rnacentral:rRNA from 1 species